UACGGAGGGUGCAAACGUUGCUCGGAAUUAUUGGGCGUAAAGCGCACGUAGGCGGUCUGUUAAGUCGGAUGUGAAAGCCCCGGGCUCAACUCGGGAAGUGCAUUCGAAACUGGCAGGCUUGAAUAUGGAAGAGGGUCGCGGAAUUCCCGGUGUAGAGGUGAAAUUCGUAGAUAUCGGGAGGAACACCAGUGGCGAAGGCGGCGACCUGGGCCAAUAUUGACGCUGAGGUGCGAAAGCGUGGGGAGCGAACAGG
rnacentral:rRNA from 1 species